rnacentral:tRNA from 1 species
CAUUUUUGAGAAACUAAUGUUAAUACUUUAAGUAUUAUAAGGCUUAACAGACCCUCAAAACC